rnacentral:misc_RNA from 1 species
CGCACAUUGCGCCCCUUGGUAUUCCGGGGGGCAUAUCUGUUCGAGCGUCGUUUAAACCCCUCAAGCCUGGCUUGGUGAUGGGCGCUCGCUCCCUUUUCCGGGGGGCGUGCCCGAAAAGCAUCGGCGGUCCGGCGUGGAUUCGAGCGUAGUAAAUGUUCCCGCUUAGAAGAAACGUCCGGGUCGGCCAGCGAACCCCAAUUCUUUCACGAAUUGACCUCGAAUCAGAUAGGGAUACCCGCUGAACUUAA